rnacentral:ncRNA from 2 species
AGCUGCGACCAAAUGAGGUGAAAUUUAUUUAUAGGCAGAAAAUAUUUAUUCCGCUCGAUGGAUAAUAUCUCUUCCUGUAUCUGAUUUUCAGACUGGCGUCGUU